GCGUAGCCGACCUGAGAGGGUGAUCGGCCACACUGGGACUGAGACACGGCCCAGACUCCUACGGGAGGCAGCAGUAGGGAAUCUUCCGCAAUGGACGAAAUUCUGACGGAGCAACGCCGCGUGAACGAAGAAGGCCUUCGGGUCGUAAAGUUCUGUUGUUAGGGAAGAACCAAGUUCCCAGAGUACCUGCUGGUACCUUGAACGGUACCUAACCCAGAAAAGCACGGCUACUUACGUGGCCAGCAGCCGCGGUAAUACGUAGGUGGCAAGCGUUGUCCGGAAUUAUUGGGCGUAAAGCGCGCGCAGGGUGGUUCCUUAAAGUCUGAAUGUGAAAAGCCACGGCUCAACCGUGGAAGGUCAUGGAAAACUGGGGAACUGAGUGCAGAAGAGAAAAGUGGAAUUCCAAAGGUAGCGGUGAAAUGCGUAGAGAUUUGGAGGAACACCAGUGGCGAAGGCGACUUUCUGGUCUGUAACUGACACUGAGGCGCGAAAGCGUGGGGAGCAAACAGGAUUAGAUACCCUGGUAGUCCACGCCGUAAACGAUGAGUGCUAAGUGUUAGAGGGUUUCCGCCCUUUAGUGCUGCAGCUAACGCAUUAAGCACUCCCGCCUGGGGAGGUACGGGCCGCAAAGGGCUGAAACUCAAAAGGAAUUGAACGGGGGCCCGCACAAGCGGUGGAGCAUGUGGUUUAAUUUCCGAAAGCAACGCGGAAGAACCUUUACCAGGUCUUGACAUCCUCUGACAACCCUAGAGAUAGGGCUUUCCCCUUCGGGGGACAGAGUGACAGGUGGUGCAUGGUUGUCGUCAGCUCGUGUCGUGAGAUGUUGGGUUAAGUCCCGCAACGAGCGCAACCCUUGAUCUUAGUUGCCAGCAUUCAGUUGGGCACUCUAAGGUGACUGCCGGUGACAAACCGGAGGAAGGUGGGGAUGACGUCAAAUCAUCAUGCCCCUUAUGACCUGGGCUACACACGUGCUACAAUGGAUGGUACAAAGGGCUGCAAACCUGCG
rnacentral:rRNA from 1 species